UACAGAGGGGGCAAGCGUUAUUCGGAAUUAUUGGGCGUAAAGGGCGCGUAGGCGGCCUUCUAAGUCGAACGUGAAAUCCCCGGGCUCAACCCGGGAACUGCGUCCGAUACUGGAAGGCUAGAAUCCGGGAGAGGGAUGCGGAAUUCCAGGUGUAGCGGUGAAAUGCGUAGAUAUCUGGAGGAACACCGGUGGCGAAGGCGGCAUCCUGGACCGGUAUUGACGCUGAGGCGCGAAAGCCAGGGGAGCAAACGGG
rnacentral:rRNA from 1 species